rnacentral:misc_RNA from 1 species
GAUUUUAAACGACAUAACUGGAAAUAUAGAUGCAAAGAAAGCUUGCACCGGGGCAAUGAAACUUCACAGGAAGUAUCUCAAAAAGGCAAAGAAAGUAUAGUUGUUGGGUAAAUGUGGUUGAAUGGAGUAAAUAAAUUAGCAGAAUUACCGAAGGAUAACCAUGCUCGAAGCAAACAGAAAUGUCUCAUAUACAAAUCAGCUUGGAAGACCACCAUUUUGCUAUUCUUCCACAGGCACCCAAUUGUUCAUUAUUG